UACGUAGGGGGCUAGCGUUGUCCGGAAUCAUUGGGCGUAAAGCGCGUGUAGGCGGUCCGGUAAGUCCGCUGUGAAAGUCGGGGGCUCAACCCUCGGAUGCCGGUGGAUACUGUCGGGCUUGAGUACGGAAGAGGCGAGUGGAAUUCCUGGUGUAGCGGUGAAAUGCGCAGGUAUCAGGAGGAACACCAAUUGCGAAGGCAGCUCGCUGGGACGUUACUGACGCUGAGACGCGAAAGCGUGGGGAGCAAACAGG
rnacentral:rRNA from 1 species